UACGAACUGCGCAAACGUUAUUCGGAAUCACUGGGCUUACAGGGUGCGUAGGCGGCUUUGCAAGUCAGGUGUGAAAGCCCCCGGCUCAACCGGGGAAUUGCGCUUGAAACUGCAGGGCUCGAGUCAGCUAGAGGUGCACGGAACUUCCAGUGGAGCGGUGAAAUGUGUUGAUAUUGGAAGGAACACCGGAGGCGAAAGCGGUGCACUGGGGCUGGUCUGACGCUGAGGCACGAAAGCCAGGGGAGCGAACGGG
rnacentral:rRNA from 1 species